rnacentral:lncRNA from 1 species
CUUAGAAUUUUGGUAAGACAAAUGACCUUCCUGGUGGCUCUUAAUAGACAAAGAUAUCUCCCUGACUCUGGGAGCAUAAUUAAAGGAUCCUCUCAAUUUAAAUUGCUUGUAUAAAAAUAUACAAUAUGCAGCAAAAUGUUUAGGCAGUUAAAAUUCUUCCUUUCCGUUUGAGUGAUUAAUUGUGAGCCAAUAUGUAGCAAAGCAAAACUGAUUUCUUGGCAGAAUUGUUUUUAUUUUUUAGCGUUUCCCUAGGAAUUAACUUAGAAACUGAAAACUCAUAAUUUGCAAGUGUAAAAAUACUAACCAAGAAAGUCAGUAAAAAUUACGUACCAUGUAUAUUAUUGGUGAAUUUUCUGGAUUUUCAUUUUUUACUUUAAGGUAUUAAAGGAUGCUUUUUUGCUUUAAGGUAUUAAAGGAUGCCUAUUACUGACAGAGUAAUUUUCAAAGCCAUUUAU